UGCAGCGACGCCGCGUGAGGGAUGACGGCCUUCGGGUUGUAAACCUCUUUCAGCUCCGAAGAAGCGAAAGUGACGGUAGGAGCAGAAGAAGCACCGGCUAACUACGUGCCAGCAGCCGCGGUAAUACGUAGGGUGCAAGCGUUGUCCGGAAUUAUUGGGCGUAAAGAGCUCGUAGGCGGUGUGUCGCGUCUGCUGUGAAAACUCAGGGCUCAACUCUGAGCUUGCAGUGGGUACGGGCAUACUAGAGUGCUGUAGGGGAGACUGGAAUUCCUGGUGUAGCGGUGAAAUGCGCAGAUAUCAGGAGGAACACCGGUGGCGAAGGCGGGUCUCUGGGCAGUUACUGACGCUGAGGAGCGAAAGCAUGGGGAGCGAACAGGAUUAGAUACCCUGGUAGUCCAUGCCGUAAACGUUGGGCGCUAGGUGUGGGGUCCAUUCCACGGAUUCCGUGCCGCAGCUAACGCAUUAAGCGCCCCGCCUGGGGAGUACGGCCGCAAGGCUAAAACUCAAAGGAAUUGACGGGGGCCCGCACAAGCGGCGGAGCAUGCGGAUUAAUUCGAUGCAACGCGAAGAACCUUACCAAGGCUUGACAUGCGCGGUGGAAUCCCAGAGAUGGGGUGUCAUUUA
rnacentral:rRNA from 1 species